rnacentral:rRNA from 1 species
UACGAAGGUGGCAAGCGUUGUUCGGAUUUACUGGGCGUACAGGGAGCGUAGGCGGUUGGAUAAGCCCUCCGUGAAAUCUCCAGGCUUAACCUGGAAAGUGCAGAGGGGACUGUUCAGCUAGAGGAUGGGAGAGGAGAGUGGAAUUCCUGGUGUAGCGGUGAAAUGCGCAGAUAUCAGGAAGAACACCCGUGGCGAAAGCGGCUCUCUGGAACGGUACUGACGCUGAGACGCGAAAGCGUGGGGAGCGAACAGG